GCAAGUCGAGGGGUAACAUGUCUUCGGAUGAUGACGACCGGCGCACGGGUGAGUAACACGUACACAAUCUACCUUGUACUGGAGCAUAGCCCCGGGAAACUGGGAUUAAUACUCCAUGGUAUUGCGGAAUCGCAUGGUUCUGCAAUUAAAGUUCCGACGGUACAAGAUGAGUGUGCGUCCCAUUAGCUAGUUGGUGAGGUAACGGCCCACCAAGGCGACGAUGGGUAGCUGGCGUGAGAGCGCGACC
rnacentral:rRNA from 1 species